rnacentral:lncRNA from 1 species
UCGAGGGGCAGACACCAGGGCUCCCAGGAGAGGUGCUGGUUUUCCGGGUGCCCCGCGUGUCGGUCUCUUCUGGGUUAAUUUUCUGCAGGAAAGUUUCAAGAAGCCUUGGCGCGGACCAGUCAGAUUUCUCAAGCCUUCAGUUAAGAGAGUCAUUUCCAUUUCUUAAAAUUGUUCAGCUACUUUGUGACCCUGUUUGAUGGCUUGUAACUGGCUCCAAUUCCCUAAUUCUCAGUGACAUGUGUUUCUGCUGGUUCCAGGAGUACAGACGUGGCCCUAAAACUUGCAGUCUUGGCAAGUGCAGUCUGAGUUUGGG